UCUGAUGCAAAGUAAUGUCGGAAACAUGAGAGCAUUGUUGGAUGUUGGCAUGAGUAAAUGCCAUCCAGUAUUUAGCUAGGGGAGUUAAAUCUGCCCUAAGGAUGUUCACCGGUGCUCCGUUCGGGUUUCUCUGAAAAUGCCUCCCAGGGAUGCACAUCACUCGCUCAAUCUCCUCAUAAUCCCUGGCCUUCCUCAGUAUAGCGACAUACAUGCACUGCUCUCCUGGCCACUAAGUCCCCAGAAAAACAUUGAUGGUGUCAGGAUUGUUGGUAUCAGAGUGGGUAUAGUUCGAAGAGUAUAACGCAGCGGAAUAAAACUUAGAGUAAGCAGAAAACAUGUUCGGUCACAAAAAUAGUUCCUUUAUCAGUUUUAAAUUUCAUGUAAAACUUUUAUCGAACAAUUGGAGUGCUAAAAGAUUAAGGAGUGUAGGGAAGAGAAAAAUCACACAAAUGAUUUUUAUACUGGUUCGAAUCAAAAGAUUCUACGUCCAGUUGUUAAUCACUAUAAAAAGUGAUUAACUAUUUUCACUAAAAAUAUAGUUGUACAGAUUACAAGAUAAUGAAAUGAGUAAGGGA
rnacentral:lncRNA from 1 species